UACAGAGACUGCAAGCGUUAUUCGGAUUCACUGGGCGUAAAGGGUGCGCAGGCGGCCAAGUGUGUGAGGCGUGAAAAGCCUGGAGCUUAACUCCAGAAUUGCACCUCAAACUACUUGGCUAGAGCAUUGGAGAGGGUAGCAGAAUUCAUGGUGUAGCAGUGAAAUGCGUAGAUAUCAUGAGGAAUACCAGAGGCGAAGGCGGCUACCUGGACAAUUGCUGACGCUCAGGCACGAAAGCGUGGGGGAGCAAAAAGGG
rnacentral:rRNA from 1 species